GCGUGGGUGAAGAAGGUCUUCGGAUUGUAAAGCCCUUUCGGCGGGGACGAUGAUGACGGUACCCGCAGAAGAAGCCCCGGCUAACUUCGUGCCAGCAGCCGCGGUAAUACGAAGGGGGCUAGCGUUGCUCGGAAUUACUGGGCGUAAAGGGCGCGUAGGCGGCGGUAGUAGUCAGGCGUGAAAUUCCUGGGCUUAACCUGGGGGCUGCGCUUGAUACGCUAUUGCUAGAGGAUGGAAGAGGCUCGUGGAAUUCCCAGUGUAGAGGUGAAAUUCGU
rnacentral:rRNA from 1 species